rnacentral:rRNA from 1 species
CCUACCCAUAACAGGGGGAUAACACUGAGAAAUUGGUACUAAUACCCCAUAACCCGGCAUCGGGAAAACUCCGGUGGUUAUGGAUGGGCAUGCGUUGUAUUAGCUGGGUGGUGAGGUAACGGCUCACCAAGGCAACGAUACAUAGGGGGACUGAGAGGUUAACCCCCACAUUGGUACUGAGACACGAACCAACUUUAUACGGGAGGCAGCAGUGAGGAAUAUUGGUCAAUGGACGCAAGUCUGAACCAGCCAUGCCGCGUGCAGGAAGACGGCUUAUGAGUUGUAAACUGCUUUUGUACGAGGGUAACGCUCUUACGUGUAAGAGCCUGAAAGUAUCGUACGAAUAAGGAUCGGCUAACUCCGUGCCAGCAGCCGCGGUAAUACGGAGGAUCCAAGCGUUAUCCGGAUUUAUUGGGUUUAAAGGGUGCGUAGGCGGUUUGAUAAGUUAGAGGUGAAAUACCGGUGCUUAACACCGGAACUGCCUCUAAUACUGUUGAACUAGAGAGUAGUUGCGGUAGGCGGAAUGUAUGGUGUAGCGGUGAAAUGCUUAGAGAUCAUACAGAACACCGAUUGCGAAGGCAGCUUACCAAACUAUAUCUGACGUUGAGGCACGAAAGCGUGAGGAGCAAACAGGA